GGAGGAAGGUGGGGAUGACGUCAAGUCCUCAUGGCCCUUACGGGCUGGGCUACACACGUGCUACAAUGGCGGUGACAAUGGGCAGCGACCCCGCGAGGGGAAGCUAAUCUCCAAAAGCCGUCUCAGUUCGGAUUGUUCUCUGCAACUCGAGAGCAUGAAGUUGGAAUCGCUAGUAAUCGCGUAACAGCAUGACGCGGUGAAUACGUUCCCGGGCCUUGUACACACCGCCCGU
rnacentral:rRNA from 1 species